UACGGAGGGGGCUAGCGUUGUUCGGAAUUACUGGGCGUAAAGCGUACGUAGGCGGCUUUGUAAGUUAGAGGUGAAAGCCCGGGGCUCAACUCCGGAAUUGCCUUUAAGACUGCAUCGCUAGAAUCAUGGAGAGGUGAGUGGAAUUCCGAGUGUAGAGGUGAAAUUCGUAGAUAUUGGGAAGAACACCGGUGGCGAAGGCGGCCAUCUGGACCGCAACUGACGCUGAGGCGCGAAAGCGUGGGGAGCAAACAGG
rnacentral:rRNA from 1 species